UCAACUCCAGGAAGUAGAGCGACACCAUUGAGGAGGCCACGAUGGGGAGCUACACGACAACCCAAGUUACAGUAUCUCACAAAACGGAGUACACCCCUCUCAUUUCUGCAAUGUUUUACUUAUAUCUUGUCAUGGGACAACAUUGAAGAAAUGGCACUUUGAUGCAAUCCACCAGCUCAGUGGUAGAGUGUCCGCCCUGAGACUGGAAGGUUGUGGGUUCAAACCCCGACCGGGUCAUACCAAAGACUAUAAAAAUUGGACCCAUUGCCUCCCUGCUUGGCACUCAGCAUUAAGGGUUGGAAUUGGGGGGUUAGAUCACCAAAUGAUUCCAGAGCGCGGCACCGCUGCUGCUCACUGCUCCCCUCUCUCCCAGGGGAUGGAUUAAAAUCACACAGGGAUGGGUUAAAUGCAAAGGACAAAUUUCACCACACCCAGAUGUGUGUGUGACAAUCAUUGGGACUUUAACUUAACUUUUAACUUUUUAAGUAUUCACUGUAGAGCUUGGAUAGCAAAGUAAAUUUAUUGUUACUUCAAAGUAACUCAAAAUACAACAAUGAAUGUGUAAAAUGCUGGCAACAAAAGUGAGUACACCCCAACCGAGAAUGUCAAAAUUGGACCCAAACAUCAAUAUUUUCUGUGGCGAUCAUUAUUUUCCAGCACCGCCGUAACCCUUUUAUAGGCAUGGAGUUCACCAGAGCUUCACAGGUCGCCGCUGGAAUGCUCUUCCAUGAUGACAUCACGGAGCUGGUGGAUGUUGAAGACCUUGCGCUCCUCCACCUUCCGUUUGGGGAUGCCCCACAGAUAUUUAGGUCUGGGGACAUGCUUGGCCAGUCCAUCACUUUCACCCUCAGCUUCUUUAGGAAGGCUGUAUUCGUCUUGGAGGUGUGUUUGGGGUCGCUAUCGUGUUGGAAUACUGCUACGCGGCCCAGUUUACGGAGGGAAGGGAUCAUGCUCUACUUCAGUAUUCCACAGUACAUGUUGGCCUUCAUUGUUCCCUCAAUGAACUGUAGCUCCCCAGUGCCAGCAGCACUCAUACAGCCCCGGACCAUGACGCUCCCACCACCAUGCUUGACUGACACACUUGUCUUUGUACUCUUCACCUGGUUGCCGCCACACACGCUGGACAGCAUCUGAACCAAAUACCAUUUUUUUCCAUGUAUAAUGCGCAAAAUGUAACUAAUUUAUUGUCCUAAAAUCUGGGGUGCGCAUUAUACAUGGGUACAAAAAAAUAUAUAUAUAUAUAUAUAUAUAUAUAUUUUUUAAAUCCGGGUAUCAUACGGAGGCCGCCAUUACAGAUGCGCUUUCUUCUCUGCUGUUCACUUCAAACACGCUCCAUACGAACACAAUGCUCUCGUAUCAGACGCUUGCUAGAUCACCUGCUCGUUUGCUGUCACAAUGUACCCUACACAAAUCCAAAACAUUUCUUCGCUAUUGAGUAUGCUAGCGCAUGCGCAGUGAUACUGACCGGCGGAAUAACAUCCGGUUGUUCCCAAAGAUGAUCUUUUUUCUGAAAUAAUUUUACGUUCACGGACUUAACUAGGAGUCAAAAUUUGGGUGCGUAUUAUACAUGGGUACAGGCUUUUUUCCAGCAUCGACAUGCCAUUUUUAGGGUGCGUAUUAUACAUGGGGGCGCAUUAUACAUGGAAAAAAACGGUAUGUUUAUCUUGGUCUCAUCAGACCACAGGACAUGGUUGCAGUAACCCAUAUCCUUAGUCUGCUUGUCUUCAGCAAACCUUUUGCAAGCUUCCUUGUCCAUCUUUUUUAGAAGAGGCUUUUUCCUGGGACGACAGCCAUGCAGACCAAUUGAAUGCAGUGUGCGCAGUAUGGUCUGAGCACUGACAGACUGAGCCCCCACCCCUUCAACCUCUACAGCAAUGCUGGCAGCACUCAUAUGCCUGUUUUCCAAAGGCAACCUCUGAAUAUGACGCAGCGCGCGCACUCAACUUCUUUGGUCGACCAUGGAGGACAACUGGCUGCACACUCCAGUACACGCGAUGGGACAGAAGCAGACUAUGCAUUUUUUUGCUUUGCAUUGUUCGUUCAGUCCUGGUGGAUAAUAUUUGGAUAAGUUUGGAUUUUUAUAUCAUAAAUAAGAGGACAGUUUGCAUUUUUUGUUCAGUGGGUUGGGUAAGUUUAGAUUUUUAUUUCUUAAAUACGAGGACUCAAAUAGACACUGGGUAUUUUAUUUGAAAUUAAGCAUCAACCAAGUGUAAAAUGCUUUUUGUUACAUACAGAAAUAAAAUUCUGUGUUCUCUGCA